CAGAAAUCAUUCUGAUAUGCUUAUUAUUAUCAAUGCAGAGUAGAAAACAGAUGUGCUGCUUAAAUGUUUGUGGAAAUCGUAAUACAUUUUUAAGGAUUAUUUUUUUUAAUAGAAAGUUCAAAGAAAAGCAUUUAUUUGAAAUAGAAAACUUUGUAACAUUAUAAAAGUCUUUACUGUCACUUUUGAUAAAUUUAGUGCAAACUUUGAAACUUUGAAACAGUCAUGUAACUAGAAAUGCAAUUUCACAUGCAGUAAAGAGGACAAUAAUUAAUUAUUGUUGUGAUUGUCUAAUAUGGUCAUUAUAUUGUGUCUUUUUAAUUAAAUUUUAUAUGUACCAGUAAUUACUCCUUACAAAAAUGUUCAUUUCUUAUCAUCAGGGGUAAAAGAAACAGCACCAGAGGAUUUGUUAUUCUCAAUGACAGACUCCAAGAAUCGUAAGUUUUGCUGUGUGUGUGUGUGUGUGUGUGUGUCUGUGUGUGUAGAAUUUCUCUGUAAAUUUAUAUGGGUUUUUGAUUACUCUGCAGAAACUAUUUCACCCAUGAAGGAGUACAUGGACAACAGACAAACAGAGCUGGAGGAAUGUCAGGAAAAAGCAGAACUAAUCUUAGACCAUGCUUCAGCUGUUCAUGAGGAUGGUGUGAUUAAAGAUGAAGACGCACCAGCAUCAGUAGCCAAUGGCCUGACAUCAUUCAAAGGACUCUGUGAAUAAUUUCGCCAGCAAUCAACAUGCACUGAGGCACAGCUUAAUGACAUAUGCUCAUUUUAAAACGACUGCAUUAGUACUUUGUCUAGCAGGAACUGCACUUUUGUACACUUUUAUAAGCUGAAAACCAGCUUGUUUGCAAAUUUAAAACAAAAACAAACAACAAAAUGUAGAACUGCAGUAUUGUAGAGACAUACUGUUUUUAAAUGAAGACAGUGAUUGUAUGGGGAGAUGAAUAACAGACGGUAAGAAAUAACAAUGUUCAGAAGUAAUAAUAAUAAUAAGUUAUUUCUGUACAUAUCUGUACAUACCCAUAAUAUCUGUUUCAUAAUGCAAAUAUUACAACACAACAAUACAGAAAGCAAAAAAGAAAAAAAUGUUGAUUGUAAUACAUUCACUGGAUUAUUUUGCUACAGUAAUUUAUUUGCAUAUUUAAAAAAAAGCUUUUAUUUUUUUCCUCUAUAUGAUUGCCAUAUGCUUACAAUUUUUUAUUGAAGAUAUUUUCUUAAAACUAUUGUUUUUCUUUCUAAGAUUGUUUUAAGUGUUAUGGUUGUGGAUUUUUUACAUUUAAAUAAACAAGUUUAUCACAAGUUUAUAAGUAUGUUU
ensembl:lncRNA